ACUGAACACAGACCACUGGCCAUGGACUUCAGGCUCAACCUGGUUUUCCUUGUUUUUAUUUUAAAAGGUGUCUGGUGUGAGGUACAGCUGGUGGAGUCUGGGGGAGGCUUAGUACAGCCUGGAGGUCCCUGAAACUCUCAUGUGUAGCCUCUGGAUUCACUUUCAGUAGCUAUGGCAUGCACUGGAUUCGACAGGCUCCAAAGAAGGGACUGGAAUGGAUAGCACUGAUUUAUUAUGAUAGUAGUAACAAGUACUAUGCAGACUCCGUGAAGGGUCGAUUCACCAUCUCCAGAGACAAUUCUAAGAACACCCUGUAUCUGGAAAUGAACAGUCUGAGAUCUGAGGACACAGCCACAUAUUACUGUGCAAAACACAGUGAAGAAAUAUUACUCUGA